UCAUCUGCCUAGAAGAUAUCCCGGACUUUUAAAACACUAUGCAGAUACUUUGCUACAGGGGUCUGACAGCUUGCUGCCUAUUUGAGCUAAGUUUUCUGACUUUCUAAUGGCAGCUCUGAGAGACGAUGCUCACUCCUUCUGGGUGCUCUUUUACACACGCUGAUCAUGAAAGGCACACUCAUGCUACAGUCUCCCAAGGAUUUCUUGUUGCUUCUGCUUUCACAGCCAUCCUAAUAACUUUGGGUUGUAAGAACAUGCUCUACAUCUUAAAUGUCUGCCUGGUUGCAUCAUGCACUUGAUCUCAGCCCUAAAUUCAUGCUGAGGUAAGUGUGCUUUUACAAAAGUUCUUCCUCGAGGGAGUCAGUGAGAAGCAGUGUGGUGUCAUCAUUACCUUGCCAUUCUGUCAUCUCAGUGUCAAGAUUGGCAAGCUGAGGUUGUAGCUGAGACGAACAGGUAAGUUUUUUCUAUACAUUUAAUGGAAAAGUGAUUCAAAGGUGAUACUAACAAAAGUCAUCUGUGUCAAGGCUUCGAACACCAGGUCCUCCCACAGAAAAAAACACAACUAAAGAAGCCAUCAGAAAAGCAAUGUGGAAGGAAGCCUAAAAGACUGGCUUCGUCCACCUUUGUGAGUCUGAUGCAGCAGUUGUGCUAGGAACGUCUUUGGAGCAGUUAUGGAUAAGGCUACAACAACAGGAAAGAAUGAAUAAAACCAGUGGAGCUAUGGAAAACGGUAUCACCCAGUGACUCGCAGCCAUGAUGGAGGUUGGCAUUUCUAAGUGGCGAUCUCACAGCUGUUACAGGCAGUGUAGUGCCACAGGUCACAUCUUGGAAAAUGGGAGCAACUGCUGUGUUAGCAAAAGGGAAAAAACUAGUGCUGUUGAAAAGACUAUCAAAAAAUAUCUACUAGCUGGCUCAAAGAUGAUCAAUGUAGGGUCUAUAUACCAAAAAAAAUACAUUCUGCAGCAGUUAAAAACAUAAAAACAGCACUCAAGGUUCCAAAAUAUUUUCCAGGGCUAUGAUGCUUCUCAUAUGUUAAGGGCUAUAAAUUAUCAGAUGAAAGUAUUAGUUUCACUAAGGCAGAAACAUGAACAGGUACUAAUCAAUGUGAUUCUGUUCUUCAGUCAAAAGUUGAUAUGUUUGCCAUUAAGCUGCUUAUAUUACGCUAUUUAACAAAGUAUUUUUAGUCCUUUUUAUGUUUAGGAAGGGGAAAUUACUGUGAUAAAAGGAACAACACACAAUGAUAACUGUUCUGUUUGUAAUUUAUCUGGUGUCUGCAUGGCAAGACAGCUUCAGUUUGAUGUCAGGUGUACCAUUUAGAAGAAACUAUUUACUUUACUCUGCAGUAGUAUUUUAGUUUACUCUGGUCAUAAAAUACUACAAUGUUUCCAGCCGAAACUCUACUGUGUCACUCUUCUGUGGCAAUACUCUGCACUCAGCUUCUGUUUGAUGCUGGAACCAGGACAUAAAAAUAAUUCUCAAAAGAAUAGUGCACUGCUAUGUAAAAAUAUGGAUAUCAACAUUCAAUAUUGCACAGUGAAUAAAAAAUGAUACUAUUAUAAACAUACUUAGUUGGGAAUAGGACUGGUCCUAAAUCUGCAAUAUAUUAAAAACUCAAUGGAUUUGUAUACAAACAGAAGGCAAGUAGUUCUUGAUGCUGUUGAAAAUAAUUCUUGUCCCUCAGUUCCUUCUCAUUAAAUUGUCAAUUGCCUGAAUUUCUUAUCUUCAUGAUUCUAUAUUAAAAUUACUAGGAAUGCUGUCACAAAA